rnacentral:rRNA from 1 species
AUGCUGCUCCGGCUACGCGUCGGCGUCACCCGGCGAUCCGCGGCCCUCCUCGCCGCCGUCCCCCGCGGCGACGCCCCCGCCGCGCUCCCCCUCCCCCGUCGCCUCCACGACGCCGCCGAUCACCGCCCGAAACCAGGGGGUCCUCUAACGCUCUACAGGGACCUGGUGAGCCAAGGGAAGCUCCGGCAUGACGUGUACCAGGAAAAUGUUGCCUCCGAGCUAGACAGCUUGCUCGGCAGGCUCAAGCGGUACGAGAUGGAGAUGGAGGAUUACCAUACAAAGCUGUCUAUGUGGGACAAUACCAGGGAGAAAGAACGGCGGCGGCUUCUCCUCGAAGAAGCCGAGGAUAAGCAGCACGAUGGGGUGUGGAUAGACGAGAAAAGGGGAUUUCUCGAUAAGUUGAUUUCACGGAAAAGAAGAGCUAAUAUAGAGCCUGGAGUUGGAAGAUGGGUUUCAUAUUUGAACAGAGAGAGGAAACUAGAUAAUUUGGUUGGCCAGAAACCAGUUGCACCUGUUGCUCCAAAAGGAUUAUACCUUUACGGGAAUGUUGGAAGUGGCAAGACAAUGUUGAUGGACAUGUUUUAUGGGGCCACAGAAGGUGUCAUCAAACACAGGAGGAGGUUUCACUUUCAUGAGGCUAUGCUUGAAAUACACGACCAUAUGCAUGAUGUGUGGAAGAGACGUGAUGAUGGCAAGUCUAUGGAAUCAAGUGCUUUCAGUUGGAUAUCAGGCCUCCCUUUCGAUGCAAAAAUCAAGGAAUGGCUGAUCGGGGAGGAAAAGUAUAAACAAGAUAAACAUCAAAAACAUAUCCUGUUAGCUGUCGCUGACAAGUUCCUUGUCGAUAGACAAGCAAAUAAAUGUGGUGCAAGCAUUCUAUGCUUUGACGAGAUACAGACUAUUGAUGUAUUCGCUAUUGUUGCCCUGUCUGGUAUUCUCAGCAGACUAUUAAGCACUGGGACUGUGCUUGUUGCUACCAGCAAUAAAGCACCAGAAGAUCUGAAUCAGGAUGGGAUGCAACGCGAAAUCUUCCUUGAGUUAUUAUCUAAGCUAGACGAGACCUGCAAUAAGAUUCUUGUUGGAACUGAAACGGAUUAUCGCCGCCUUAUUCCUACGGAUGGCUCAACUCAGAUUCACUAUUAUUGGCCUACCAAUCCUGACACAAGGAAUAUGUUUGAGGCUAUGUGGCAUGACAUAACUAACCAGACAGGAGGAAACAUUACUGCAGUUACUAUUCCUGUAAUGUUUGGAAGGUCUAUUGAGAUUCCUCAAAGUUGUAGCGGUGUGGCAAGGUUUGACUUCGAGUAUUUAUGUGGACGCCCAGUCGGAGCUGCAGAUUAUAUAGCAAUAGCCAGGAACUACCAUACAAUUUUCAUAUCAGACCUUCCAGCUAUGAGUAUGAAGAUCCGUGACAAGGCAAGAAGAUUCAUCACCCUUAUUGAUGAGAUGUACAAUCAUCACUGCCGCCUUAUAUGUUUAGCUACCUUACCCAUUGACAAUCUAUUUCAAGGAACUGAGGAAGGGCCUCUUUUUGAUUUAGAGAGUUUCCAGUUUGAAACUGAAGCCGAAGGGUCAAAGUUAAGGAGGGAUGUUUCCGCAGAAGGCAAUGUUGGUGCAGGGCCCUCUACUAGAGGUCUGGUGUCAAUGCUGUCUGGUCAAGAAGAGAUGUUCGCGUUCCGAAGGGCGAUAUCCCGGCUCAUAGAAAUGCAGACCCCGCUGUAUCUCGAGCGCGUCCAGCAUGUCCAUUCUUCCGCCCUUCAACAACAGCAGGGCACCCCUGUUCUCACAAAACAGAGCACUGUAUCUCAGUCUGCUCCCUUGUAG